rnacentral:rRNA from 1 species
AUACGGAGGGUGCGAGCGUUAAUCGGAAUUACUGGGCGUAAAGCGUACGUAGGUGGUUUGUUAAGUCAGAUGUGAAAGCCCUGGGCUCAACCUGGGAAUGGCAUUUGAAACUGACGAGCUAGAAUAUGGUAGAGGGAAGUGGAAUUCCGGGUGUAGCGGUGAAAUGCGUAGAUAUCCGGAGGAACACCAGUGGCGAAGGCGGCUUCCUGGACCAAUAUUGACGCUGAGGUACGAAAGCGUGGGUAGCAAACAGGAUUAGAAACCCCGGUAGUCC